GGGGAACCUAGGGAGACAGAAAUAUAUAUUACGACCUCUUUAAAUAAACAAACAAAAAAACAUAUCAAUAAAGUCAUGACUUAUUAUUAUUUCCAUUUCUCUGAUAGUAUUUACAUAAUUAUUCAGUGCAUAAGAUUUGACGAAUAGUAUAAGUAAUCAUAUUUAUUGCUUGGCAGGAUAUAUUUUAUUUUGAAAAUGAGCACAUCCAGACAUAAGCAAGCUCAAGAUCUUUAUGUAUGUGAUGCGUCCCUUUACUAUAAUUUAAUUCAUAAGGAUAUGUAUUUAAUAUAAUUUAAAUACUAUAUAGAGUAGCAUUUGUAAAACAGUCAGCCACCUGUUAGCCCUAAGGUUGCAUAGGUUACACCAUGACUUACAGCACUUCAGGCACUCGAACACUGAGCCCAUGUCGCACUCUCCAGUCGCCCAGUGCCUCACACUUGCCAUGUG